rnacentral:rRNA from 1 species
UGACCGCUGGCGGCGUGCCUACUACAUGCAAGUCGAGCGAACGGACGAGAAGCUUGCUUCUCUGAUGUUAGUGGCGGACGGGUGAGUAACACGUGGAUAACCUACCUAUAAGACUGGGAUAACUUCGGGAAACCGGAGCUAAUACCGGAUAAUAUUUUGAACCGCAUGGUUCAAAAGUGAAAGACGGUCUUGCUGUCACUUAUAGAUGGAUCCGCGCUGCAUUAGCUAGUUGGUAAGGUAACGGCUUACCAAGGCAACGAUGCAUAGCCGACCUGAGAGGGUGAUCGGCCACACUGGAACUGAGACACGGUCCAGACUCCUACGGGAGGCAGCAGUAGGGAAUCUUCCGCAAUGGGCGAAAGCCUGACGGAGCAACGCCGCGCGAGUGAUGAAGGUCUUCGGAUCGUAAAACUCUGUUAUUAGGGAAGAACAUAUGUGUAAGUAACUGUGCACAUCUUGACGGUACCUAAUCAGAAAGCCACGGCUAACUACGUG